AUAUAUUAAUGGAUGACACUACAAAAUACGAGAAAAUGAAAGGAAAAAAGAAAAUAAAGUUUCAAAAGAUGUAAGUACAAACAUUUUGUCUUAUGCAUAAAGUACUGAUAUUGGACAAGUUAAUUUAUUGGGUACAAGGAAGCAAUCUCGAAAGAAAUGUCUAUCUAGCAAGAUGAAACAUUUUGGCAUUCUGGUGAUUAACUGCAUGAAUACACCUUAACCAACUAUCUCUCAAAAGCUUAGGAACAACAUUCAUUGCCUGUGACACCAUACACUCAACAAUGAGUAAAACAUAGAACAGC
rnacentral:lncRNA from 1 species